UAAAACUGUGAAACUUUGAUAAACAUUUUGUCUCUAGACUGUGACAGUUGUAGUGGGUGCUGUCAAAAAUAUUAUUUUUGUUUGAGCUUUUCAUAGAACUUAAAUGUUUUUUGUUGUUCAGUUUUUUUUAGCCAUUGAAAUUUCAUAACUUAUGAAGUUCUGAGGGAACAAAUGGACUGGUUCUUGUAUAGCGCUUUUUUACUCUGAGUAGAGUAAUGAAUGAUGUUCAUGACACAGGCGACACCAGAAACAACUGUGGUGGUUUUAAACAGAAAAAGACUUUGAGGAUUUCAGAGAUUCCUUCAGAAGAACAGUCAGACAGGAGGAUCUGUUGGACUGACAAUUGACUAGAAAAACAUCACAGCUGAGUCUGGACAGAACUCUUCCAUGUCGAGCUCCAAACAAAAAUAUCAGCAUCAUUGGUCUGGAGUGGAGUAGAGCUGACCUGGGAGAAGAAUAUGUGAUUUUGUACCGGGAUGGUCAGUUUGUUCCAGACAACCAGCAUCCAUCUUUUAAGAACCGGGUGGAUCACCAGGACAGACAGUGUGGAGACGUGUCUUUAAUGACACUGGAACAUACGAGUGUCAUGUCGUCAUGAGAGGAACAAACAUAAGACCAGAAAAUCAUCAAAGCUGAGCCUGGACAGAAGAACGUCACUCUUCCAUGUCGAGCUCCAAACAACAGCAGCAGCAUCACCGGUGUAGAGUGGACCAGAGCUGAGCUGGGAGAUGAAUAUGUGCUUUUGUACAGGGAUGACCAGCUUGAUCCAACCAACCAGCAUCCAUCUUUUAAGAACUGGGUGGAUCUGCAGGACAGACGGAUGAAGGAUGGAGACGUGUCUUUGAUUCUGAAGGAUGUGAUGAUUAAUGACACUGGAACAUACAAGUGUGAGGCCUUCAUUAGAGGAACAAAUGUGAGGAAGAGAGCUAAUCUAGUUGGUGAACCCAUCAGUAUCGUCACACUGAAAGUUGUUCCUCCAGGUGAGUGAGUAGAGUUGAGUGUGUGUGUGAUCAGAGGUGAAGCUGCUUCCUGGUUGUUGAUGUUUGUUUCUAAAGAUGUUGUUGAUGAGACUUUGUAGAAAGCAGCUGGUCUGAGUGAUGUGAUCAGAGUGCAGUAGAUAAUGUCUGACAGCAGUUUGAAGAGGAAAUGGAUUCUGUUCUGUUCUUCACUCAUCACCUACCUGACAGCUGACACCUCACACCUGUUUCUCACCUGCAGGAGGAUCUGUUGGACUGAUCGUUGGUCUGAGUGUUCCUGCUGUUCUUGUUGCUGCUGGUGUUGGUUUUCUGAUCUACAGAAAACAUAAACAACAGAACCGAGAUUUUAACUAGCAUCCUGAUGAACAUCAGCAAGUUUAAAUUGUCUCAGAGCUUCUUUCAUGUUGAUGCUGGGUAAGAGAAGCCUACAUUAAGGCAGAAAAGCAGGAGUGAAGCACACUGAAGAAACUUAAACACUAGAGUCCAAGUAGAAAACCAGAAGAGUUGCUUCAUUCCAAAGAGACUCCACAGCUGAGACCACGUUUAAAUAAAAGCUAAUGUCCCAGAAGUAUGAAGGAAUAAAAAUGGAAAAUCAAUUAUUAAAAGUUGCAGGUUAAAAAUAAAUAAAUCAUAUUGUCCUACAUCUGUGGGAGAGUCCUAAGAAAUUAAACCCAAAGCCAUACAGGAAGGAUCACUUUUUUUACAUUUACAGGCUGAGAAGUUGACAGAAAAUACUGAAUAAUGUUGGAAAAAGUGUUAAAGCCUACACCUUUACUGUUUUUAACAUCUAUUGUUAUGUAUUUACUUCCAACACUGAGCAUUAUCGGUUUCUGAUGUAUUGGACAAUUAUUAUUAAUAGUAGUUCAAUUUUGAUGAUGUAUGGUUUCAAACACACACAGGUCUUCAUCAUUUGAUUGUAUGUUGUUCUGAGGCAGCUAAAUUAGUUUGCAGAGAAAAAAUAUAUGUUAGAUUUGUGUUUGUGAGGUUAGUCGCUCAUAUUAUUCUUUACAUUUCUGUGGGACACGCAUGAGCUCAUAUUUUCAAACAAUAAUUAAGACAUCUUAAAAUGAAUACAAAUACAUUUCAGUGUUUUCCCAAACAACAUAUUCUGUUUCCGAUUGAACUUGUUUGAAGCAGAAUUUUAUUUCCACUAAUGUCAGGAAUUUACUUUUUUAUGGUUUGUUUCUCAUCAGUUUUCAGAGUUCAGUGCCCUGAAUGUUACAGGUUCAGCCACUGUUUUUAAAGUCAGACUUGUUCUGUGAGGUUUGAACCACACAAACUGAUCCUCAUGUGCAGGUCAGCUGUUACAUAAUUACAGACACUAACCGAUCAAUAAUCAGUCUGAUGGUGUUCAUUUGGCAACUAUAACUGAAUGAAUGUUGUGACAGUGUCAUGAAACUAAAGAUGAAAUGAUUUCUGUAACAGUCAGAUGUUUCCUCUGAUCUCUGAAAGUUUAUUGAACUUUUAAUCCCAUGAACACUUGUGUUGUUUGUGUUCUGGUUGUUACUGCAGUGGAGAUAUUUCAGAGCUAAUAAAUUUUUUUUUACAUA
ensembl:lncRNA